rnacentral:lncRNA from 1 species
ACCAGGUCAGUGCAAUGGCAGAAAGCAACCAUGUAGGACCAAGGAAAUGAAGGAAUGAUAGGUGGGGAUGAUUUAUGGGUUUCUUAACUCACCAACCAUCUAGAAAAACAGGAGUGACCAAAAAUAAGAAAUACAGUAUCUGGGAGGUUCAGAUACAACCUGUCACUGGAGGGGGGGAAAAAAAACUCCUUUAAUCUCUAAUUCAGUCAGAG